CUUACUGUCCAAGGAUGAAAAUGUUUGACCCAUCUACACAUCAAGUUGUCAAUAACCCGGAUGGACGUUACGCCUUCGGUUCCCUUUGCGUAAAAGAUUGCCCACCUUACCUUGUGAAAGAAAAUGAUGCAUGUGUGAUCGAGUGCCCAGCAUACAAGUCAGCGAACCCUAACACCAGCAUAUGCCAACCUUGUUUCGAAAAUUGUCCUGAAAAACCAUGUCGGUUGAACCAUGAAAAGGGUCGUCAUUUUUUACAAUUCGGAAAUGUUCUGGUCAAAGAGGCU